UGAGGAAUAUUGCACAAUGGGCGAAAGCCUGAUGCAGCAACGCCGCGUGCGGGACGAAGGCCUUCGGGUCGUAAACCGCUUUUCUGAGGGACGAGCAAGGACGGUACCUCAGGAAUAAGUCUCGGCUAACUACGUGCCAGCAGCCGCGGUAAAACGUAGGAGGCGAGCGUUAUCCGGAUUUACUGGGCGUAAAGCGCACGCAGGUGGCCGUGUAAGUCGGACAUGAAAGCUCCUGGCUUAACUGGGAUAGGUGGUUUGAAACUGCAUGGCUUGAGGUUGGGAGAGGGACGUGGAAUGCACGGUGUAGUGGUGGAAUGCGUAGAUAUCGGGAGGAACACCAGUGGCGCAAGCGGCGUCCUGGCCCACACCUGACGCUGAGGUGCGAAAGCGUGGGGAGCAAACAGG
rnacentral:rRNA from 1 species